GCAGAAAUGCCAGUUAUCUUUCUCAUCUCCAUCUGUCUGUCUGUGCACAUGAAACAACUCCACUGUGCUGCUGAGUGGCCUUUGAAGACUUUUUUCUGAAGUGUCUUUAGACAGUUAUAGUUUUAAUCUUCAAGUAAUGUAUCCUGUUCUGUUAUUCUACACAUUGUUUUGUUUUCUGCCUCAACACAACAACUGUCAGAAUGUCAUUCUCCUUUUACUGUGUAUAAUGAGUUUAUUGGUCUUAAUAGUAUGACAAUGUGCUGCGUGUUUCAGCUUAUGAAGCUGUCAUCAGGCAGGAUGCGUUAAAUAUUUUCAGACUAUUGAAAUGUGCUUUAUAUGAAUUCAUAUAUAAUAAUUAUUACAAAUGUACCUGAUUUUCAAAAUUAGUUAGUACAUUCAACAUUCAUCUGAAUUAUAAGAGUCAUGAUGGGAAGUCAUAAUGUUUUCAUUAUCACCAUGAGGAAGUCUUAAUUCUAAAAUAUAGUUCUAUAUAGGAGAUUUCCUGAGUUUGCUGAACAGUCAAAUUUUCCCCUGCCAACUGGACAGAGGGAGCCACUGGAAAAGGCAGAAGCAAAAUGGCAACAUCAGUUGAGGAAGUGGAGGCUUGUGCUGUGAUACAGUUCCUGCAUUAGCGAGGGAAGUCUGCCAGGGAGACCCACGACCAGAUGACCGCUCUGUAUCGGGAAGGUGUACCAUCAUGUAACUCAGUGGUCAGGCGGAAGAGGCGCUUUCAUUGUGGACAGACAAACGUUGAAAAUGAACCCCAAAGUGAAAGAUCAUC